rnacentral:rRNA from 1 species
UAGCGUAGGGUGCAAGCGUUAAUCGGAAUUACUGGGCGUAAAGCGUGCGCAGGCGGUUAUGCAAGACAGAUCGGUGAAAUCCCCGGGCUCAACCUGGGGAACUGCAUUUGUGACGUGCAUGGCUAGAGUGCGGCAGAGGGGGAUGGAAUUCCGCGUGUAGCAGUGAAAUGCGUAGAUAUGCGGAGGAACACCGAUGGCGAAGGCAAUCCCCUGGGCCUGCACUGACGCUCAUGCACGAAAGCGUGGGGAGCAAACAGG